rnacentral:rRNA from 1 species
CCUACGGGGGGCAGCAGUCGAGAAUCAUUCACAAUGGGGGAAACCCUGAUGGUGCGACGCCGCGUGGGGGAAUGAAGGUCUUCGGAUUGUAAACCCCUGUCAUGUGGGAGCAAAUUAAAAAGAUAGUACCACAAGAGGAAGAGACGGCUAACUCUGUGCCAGCAGCCGCGGUAAUACAGAGGUCUCAAGCGUUGUUCGGAAUCACUGGGCGGAAAGCGUGCGUAGGCUGUUUCGUAAGUCGUGUGUGAAAGGCGCGGGCUCACCCCGCGGACGGCACAUGAUACUGCGAGACUAGAGUAAUGGAGGGGGAACCGGAAUUCUCGGUGUAGCAGUGAAAUGCGUAGAUAUCGAGAGGAACACUCGUGGCGAAGGCGGGUUCCUGGACAUUAACUGACGCUGAGGCACGAAGGCCAGGGGAGCGAAAGGGAUUAGAUACCCGGGUAGUC